AGUGAACGCUGGCGGUAGGCCUAACACAUGCAAGUCGAACGGCAGCACAGUAAGAGCUUGCUCUUACGGGUGGCGAGUGGCGGACGGGUGAGGAAUACAUCGGAAUCUACUUUUUCGUGGGGGAUAACGUAGGGAAACUUACGCUAAUACCGCAUACGACCUACGGGUGAAAGCAGGGGAUCUUCGGACCUUGCGCGAUUGAAUGAGCCGAUGUCGGAUUAGCUAGUUGGCGGGGUAAAGGCCCACCAAGGCGACGAUCCGUAGCUGGUCUGAGAGGAUGAUCAGCCACACUGGAACUGAGACACGGUCCAGACUCCUACGGGAGGCAGCAGUGGGGAAUAUUGGACAAUGGGCGCAAGCCUGAUCCAGCCAUACCGCGUUGGUGAAGAAGGCCUUCGGGUUGUAAAGCCCUUUUGUUGGGAAAGAAAAGCAGCAGGUUAAUACCCCGCUGUUCUGACGGUACCCAAAGAAUAAGCACCGGCUAACUUUGUG
rnacentral:rRNA from 1 species